GGUCAGGAUAGCUCAGUUGGUAGAGCA
rnacentral:tRNA from 1 species